GCCUUCCAAUCCUGAGGAGGCUCUCACACAUAGACGGUUAAAAUGGAUUGCUUAAUUAGGAUGUGCGGUCCCCAGUGUAUGAUUGGGCUAAACUUUAGAGGCCCCGCCCACCCAAUUUCCUCCUCGCCCGCUGAAGAUUCUGAUUGGAGCAACACUCAAUCAAGCCUUCCAAUCCUGAGGAGGCUCUCACACAUAGAAGGUUAAAACGGUUUUUUUAAACUAUUAGUGUCUGUUCUGGUAACUCCAGCUGUGUCAGAGGGUUUUGUGUCAGCGCCGACUGGGCUUGGCCUUUGAAAGCGCUGUCAGGAAUACCACGUUAAGGGGGUUCGGUUUAACUGUUUUUGUUUUCUAAGAGAAGUUACUUUGUAAGGUUUUAUGUUGCCAGAAAAAGUAGAAAAGUAGAAGCAAGGAUCAAUGCAAGACCUGAGGCCGUGGUCUGGACGCUUCAUGCACAGCCACCGUGGCACAGCACAGAGGAAAAACCUCCGAACCCACCGUGGCAUGGUGUGAGUCACUGACGACCGGUGGUGCACGUUCAGCACGAAGACGGUGAUGACGAUGGACAGCGUGACGAAGAUCAUGGUGAAGAGCAGGUACUCCCCGAUCAGAGUCCGACGGGAGGUAGAAGACCAGGACGGUGAGGCAGGAGAUGAGGAGGCAGGGGAUGAUGAGGUUGAUGGUGUAGAACAACGGGAGUCGGCGGAUGACGAAAUAGUAGGUGAUGUCGGGGUAGAUCUCGUGGCAGCAGUCGUACUUCUUGGUGUUGUAGGUGCCCACUGCGUUGACGAUCGCCCACUCGCCGCUCUCCCAGUAAUCCUACAAAUGAGAUUUAUUUUUAGCCAAACAAUGUGGCUCAACGCUUCUGUCCACACUGAAACAUCUGAGGAACCUCUUGCUGGAUUGCCAUGAAAUUUUGUAUCGAUAUUCAUGGUCCCCGGAGGAUGGAUCCUCUCGCAGAAUCACAAAUGUCUGUGCCAAAUUUCAUGGCAAUCCAUUCAACUGGUGCCAAGAUAUUUCACUCUUGAUCGAAGUAAGAAAUACGGAAGAGCAUCCGUGAACCACAGAGUGGACAAAACUGGCACAGACUCAAUGGAGAGAAGAAAGGAUGGAGCAGAAGAGGCAUCCACCCGUUCCACCUUGAGGUCCACCGUGUUCUCAAAGGGCUCCAGGUCGAUCUUGGCGCGGUCGUACGUCCAGGAGCCGAACUUCAUCUUGCAGCUCUGCUGGUCGAAAGGGAAGAAGGUGACGUCGAUGGAGCAGGAGGACUUGUAGAUGGCCGGGGGCACCCAGCGGACACGACCCGUGUGAAACAGUUGGUAUGCAGGGGUGUUCAGAAGUGCUGUGGGACCAGCGACCUUCCCGCCCUCAUGAGCACAUUGUUAUGGAUCAAGCAGCACGAUGUCCGGCACCCAGAUGAGCUCAGAGGGAACUCUGAUGGACGUCACGUUGUCGAAGUCGGAGGGUCUCCACUGCAGCUUGUAGUCAGUCCACUCCUGCCGACACAAGCACAGAUUAAGACCAAACAUCUUUGGGUUUUCUGUAUUCAUAGGACGGGUGCACAGGUCGGCUUCUCUUGUACCUGUUUGAGCCACACGUUGGUCGUCAUCACCUGAUUUUUCUCAUCCUGUUUUGAAGCCAGAAAUCCAGUCACUGGGCGAUGGAGAGGCCGAACUUGACUAUCACCACGUCUGUGAUGUUCCUCGCCGGACGUGUCCACUUGCUGUAGCCCCCAAACAGCCUCCUGAAGAGCUCGCCCUCAGUGUCAGCACGGGUCCAGUCCUCAGCC